rnacentral:rRNA from 1 species
AUUGAACGCUGGCGGCAGGCCUACCACAUGCAAGUCGAGCGAGCGGCGGACGGGUGAGUAAUGUAUGGGGAUCUGCCCGACAGAGGGGGAUAACUACUGGAAACGGUGGAUAAUACCUCAUACUAUCGGAUGAACCCAUAUGGGAUUAGAUAGUAGGUGGGGUAAAGGCUCACCUAGGCGAAGAUCUGUAGCUGGUCUGAGAGGAUAAUCAGCCACACUGGGAUUGAUACACGGCCCAGCCUCCUACGGGAGGCAGGAGUUGGGAAUGUUGCACAAUGGGCGGAAGCCUGAUGCAGCCAUGCCGCAUGUAUGAAGAAAGCCGUAGGGUUGUAAAGAACUUUCAGCGGGGAGGCGUUACCCGGAGAAGAAGCAGUGGCGAACUCCGAGCCAGCAGCCGCGGUAAUUG